UGUCUGCAAUUUUCACAUUUCAUCAGCCCAUCAUCCGAUCUUCUUCUCCGUCAAACUCUGAAAAAUGGCAAUGGAAAUCUUGAUGGAUGUAUAAACAGGUGCAGGUCUUGCUUCGAAAAGAAGCGAAGAUGUCGCAUGACCCAGACGACACGCCGUUGCCGAAUCUACUUCCGUCGAAUAAAUCGAGGGGAGUUGGAUCAUCAAGGGUAGCAGCGAAUUGAAUUCCCCUUAAACCUGUGCGCGCUGUGCUUUCUCUCUCUCUACAGCUCAACAGAAAACCUCGCUUGCUUUCGUCAUCUUGCUCUAAUUCCGUCGUCCAUGGAACUCUGAUACAAAUUAACAAAUAAUUUGUCAAUUUUUUGGUGUAAAAGAGGAGCAUUGGUACUUUGAAUCUGUGUGUAGGAAUCAUAUAUGUUUUGUUGAUUCUAGCUUUAUUGUUGCUUAGGUUUUGGUUUAAAAAGCGUUAUGACCCUAGUUAGUCAUACUGGUUGUGUCAUAUGUGAUAUAGGUGGUAAUCUUAUAAGUUGGGUUGAUCAUGUAAUAGAUAUUGAUUACCCUAACAAAUUAUUUGUUAAUAAUUUUCUUAGUUUUGACAGUACCCAAAUUUGGCAUGCACUUAAAAUGUUAACAUUCAAUAUAAUGUCGAUUUGGUGUA